GGAAUAUUGGGAAUACUGGGAAUAUUUGGAAUAUUGGGAAUACUGGGAAUAUCAGGAAUGUUGGGAAUACUGGGAAUACUGGGAAUGUUGGGAGGGGUGUGCCCCUGUGGCUGGCAGCCCCCCGGGCCGGGCUGAGCGCUGGCUGCAGCUGUGGGUGCAGAGCUGUGCUGUGCCUGCCGUGUCUCUGCUGCUCUCCCCGCAGCACAGGAGCUGCCUGAGAGUCGUCCCCGGGAUACAAAAGUUGUUUUCCUCCCCCAGCUCCUCCUGCCUCCAUGACCCAGUUACCAGCUCAGCACAUGCGGGAAGCCACGGGAGAGAAAAACACAUUUCUAUUUGAAUGAGAAAAGUUGAUGACUAUUUUAAGCCCCUUAUCACGUAAAAGCAUUUCAAGCUGAAACACCCCUGUCAUCUCUGACUGUGAGGUAACCAUAAAGGCUUCUCCCUCCUCAUCCGCAGCUCCACAGCCCCGCACUUGCAGGCAAUGAAAAUCCCUUUGGGUGUCUGUGCUGUACCCGCUGUGUUCUCUGCUCAGAGCUGAAACACCAGCUUAGCUCGUGUGGAGAACGCUCCGUGGGCUUGUUUUACCCAGUUGGUGCAAGGAGGAACUGCGGCUUUUCCCCUGAGUCCUCGGCGGGCAGGUUACAAAAAUGUGCUGGAGAUGCCAAUCCUUGGCUUCAGAGGGUGGGGACCUGCAUCUCUGGGAUGCUCUGGGAUGCUCAGGUGUGGGGCCCAAGCACUGCCCUGAGGGUGUGGGGGGUCUCUGGGCAUGGGCAGCAGCUCUCAGGCUGCCCUGAGGAGUGCAGGGAAGGAGCUGAGGUGAGGGAUGGGGUCCUUUGGGACACAGGGACUCAACUUUUACAGCUCUUGCUUAGGGAGAGCUCUUAGACCUGCCCCAGUUCCAGCCCUUCCCUGACAGCUGCUCAGAUCAUCGAGGUCAGGCUUCAAUCAAAGGUGAGCACGAGUUUUUUUUCCCCUGGGACUUCAGCACAUGUGUAAGAUGUGAGCAGUGCUUCAGUUCUGGAUUAAAGGAUAUAUAUUUUCUAUUUGAGUACUCCCAAAUAGCAGGGCUUUUACUGAGCUCCACGGGGGCUGUGCCUGUCACAGCAGAGAGGGACAGCAGCACCUGGACCAGGCACACGGCAUUUCUGGCACAGUGUGACUGACAGGGAUGGCCUGGCA
rnacentral:lncRNA from 1 species